rnacentral:lncRNA from 1 species
UUAAAUCAGUGUUGGUUAUGAACAAAACAGUUUGGGUGAACAUUGCCAACUGAUUUCUAAAUGAAUCUUCAGCAUUUUUGUUGUGUUCUUUGAUUGGUUUUUUCUUUCGAGCAAUCAACAUAGAAAAGGAGCUACAACUAGGAUGGAUAUAGAGAUGGACAGAGAAGAGCGGUUAAAAUGAGUACGAAUCGACGAACUGACGGAUUAAAGAGGUGAGUGAGUAGAGCAAUGGGGGAGGGAGUGGGUGUUGGAGGGUUGAGUGAUUAUCAUUAAGCGCCAGAGUAGUCGCCAUUUAGCACGCACAACGAACUGCAGCAUCCACAGCAGCAGUUGCAACAAUGUUUGAGUAAUUGUUUGCUGUUGCAGCAGCAGCAGCAACUGCUGCAUCAACAGCAACUGCAGAUACAACAAAAUUUGCAUGCAAGCGCAAACUGCUCCUCCCCUUAACCAACCCCUGGCAGCUGCUGCUGCUGUGUGGCAGCACACGUAACUGAACAGUGGCAACAACUGCAGCAGUAAUUGCAACAAACAAUUAGCGUCACUUGGAUUUAUGUUUACGAGCGACUGUCUCGACAUUUUUGGCCACAAUGACACCAUCCUGCCCGACUCUUCGUCUGACACUGUCACUAUCUGCAUGCCCCAUCAGUUGCCCUCUCUCCAUUUAUGGUUGUCAACGAGAAAAAGUUGAUCAAUCAAGGGGAAUAAUUUAUUUACGAUUCGAUGAACGAACGAAUAAAAUAACUUUAUGGAUUUUUUCGCCAGUGAUUACCAUCUUUGGACCGCGUAUCUGUCUAUAAACGUAUUUACACAAAUUGGCAAAACCGUGCAAAACAUUUGCAAGAAUAAUACAAAACCUAGCCGACAUUUAGCGAGGGUUUUAUACUGGAAUAUCUAUGGAGUACUUACUUAUUACUUACUUAUGUACUUAUUUUAAGCAAAGUCCUGCAGACGUUUUUUCUCUAUACGCUAGUAUCCACUAGUAUAUUAUUUAUAUUUAUACAUCCUGGUUAAUAUCUGGAGAAGUUUCAGCAUAUGUAAACUCAAUUUGUCUUCCGAUUCUUUCUCAGAUGAUUUAUGUUUUAAUUGGCCCAUUCUGCCGCAAGCUUCAAGCCCAGACGACAGACGACAGACACCAGACACCCCCACCGUUCGCUUGUAAUGAAUGCUGUUGCAACAUGUAAAUGACGUCAUUACAAGACGUGGGGCGUGGCAGGACAGUCGACGGCCGACGGACUUCCCUCCGUAUUCAUGGAAAGGGAAGAACCAUACAUAGGAUAGAACUCGCGAAAAGUAGUCACGACCAGUAGACAAACAUGUUGGCACAGUCCCGAACACUUGUGCAACGCCCACGAACACUUUCGAUUAGACUUUGAAUCACUUCUGCUGCAUUUCAUUCAAUUUGUUUCUGAAUUUUAUUUUGUUUUGUUAAACUUUUCAAGAAUUUAUGAGUUUAGUAUUCGGAGUAUCACUACUUUAUAAUAGGCAUGAAACGAGGAGGGACGUGUGAGUCGUACUCUGUACUCAGUUGUACAAAUGUGAUCGGUGAUCUUAUGGUCAUUGCGGAUACAGCCGAUUUUUGUCCUUUAAUGGGGCGGAAGGGGGCGUGGAGAAAUUUUGGAGUACAUUUGUACGAGUGUGAGAUUACAGCCGUCUAGAUGCAAAACUUGGUUACCUUACCUCUAAUGGUCUCUGAGUACUAGGCGCCCAUAACGACGGUCAGACGGACGGAGGGACAGACAGACAGACAGAUAUAGACACGGGUACUGAUGCUGAUCAUGAAUAUAUAUGUGCGCAAAUACAAUAUACCCUUUUUAUUCUUCGAGUACCGGGUAUAAAAAAUAUACAGAAUUAACCCAAUAAUCAAUCAAUCAAAGAUGGACCUAAAAUGAAUGUCAAGUCCGGGCCUCCUACAGACAAAACCCAAAGAGCAGCACAAACACAAAAAGUUAUAUUUGAUCUAAAGGCGCCGCCGCAUACGCAUCCUGGGAAACAUCCUUCUGUCUGGUCUAUGUGGGUGGGCCUUGAAAAUGUAGUGUCGUGUAUGUGUGUGGGAGAUGCCUUAGUUUUCCUCUUAGUCGGCAUAAAUGAUGUGAAACAAUUUGUAUUUCCACCAACGUUUCCACUGCCUCUGCCACUCCGUGGACAGUGCUGUUGGUAAACAAAACUCUUCCUCACUCCUGGGGUUUAUUUAAAUUUCCGGCCGACGGGCAAACAAAAUUGCAAAGACAACAACAGGAGCAGGAUCUAAGGAAUAGUUGCAGGGUGGCUCGACAUGUGUGAGGUUUUCUAUUAUAUGUUAAAUGUUAUGAUUUAUUAUGUGCGGGUUCAAGUUGAUGGUGUGGUCAUAAAUUGCGACCCUUCGGUGCGCCUUUGACUGUGUGUGCCUCUUGUUUGUUCCCCCAGCGUUCCUUUGUGUCUGGUUUGCCAGCAGCAGUUAAGUCAAUUAAUUGGCCUUAAAAUGUAUUAGUUUUUUGCCACCCGAAUAAACACCUCACCACACACCUUCCUGCAACCCAUCCUGCCUUGAUUUAUUGUUCGUGGAAUGCCGAAACAACAAAAGAAACAUUUUUUCUUUUCGACUUUGGCUUUGGCACGCACUCACGCGGUCGCACACUUGAUGACUUGAGGUGACUUACACUACUUGCUCCCUGAGGUGUGUCAUUUGCAUAUAAAUAGAUAUGUAAGCUAAAAUGUGAUCCACAUGAGGUAAUAUUAUCUCGGUAUUCGCGGCGAAAAGGCCUAUCUGCUUCGCGUGUUACCGAUAUUUUCCGAGUUCCUUGUUUCUCGCACAUUUUCCAUUAAAUUAGCCUUCAUGUCAAAUUGUGACAUAGAAACUGUUGGUAGACGGUUGUAUUGUACUAAAUUAUUAACUGGACCAAAGUGAAGCGCACAAAUAAAAAGUGUCCAACAUUUGUAUGAAACAAACUGUCCAAAUGCCUGCUUGUCCUGGACUGUGUAGGAGCUACCUUGACAACUGUAAGAAGUGGCUCUUUAGUGGGAGAGUGGGGUUUUAGCAUUUAUUUACGAUAAAGAAAUCAUAUUGUUCGGAGCUGCAGCAAAAAUAUAUUAUUAUUAAGAUCAGCUCGCCUUGUUUGUAAUUACACUCUUUUUAUAAUCUCUUGUACUAAUAUGAUAUUUUUCCGCUCAUCGCUCCCUCUCACAGUGCAAAGAAGCGCACGCAUGUGUAUGCACCCUCCGUACUGCUUAUAUUUCAGUGCUUUGCCCUUUUCUAGGGACCAGUCUAAAAUAUUGUCCAUCGCCGCGAAUCUCCGAGCAGUCCAAUUAAUUCUUUAUUUUGUAUGUCCAUCGCGAACCCGUUACUUUAAUCGAGCUCUAAACCAUUGUAAAUUUUAACACACCGAAUCGUAGUUCACGGCCACGCCCCCUAUAAAUUGUAAAAAUUAGUAAUUUUUUGAGUUCACAAUUUUUACUAACAUUUGUACCUGGUUAGUGCGGAGUCAUCGUCUGCGACUAACCAAUUUCGCUGUAGCAAUUAAAUUUAAAAAAAAUAUAUAUAUAAAUUCGUACAAUAAUAAGCAAAUAUAUCAAAAGGUAAAACGGAGAAUAAUUGUCGAAAAUGUGGAGUCAGAGUUACCGGAAAAGCUCGGCAGCUUCCAACACAUAUUUUGUAUGGUUUUUUUUUUCUUCAAGGAACCAAAAAAAACUUUUCCUGAAAGAUUUGGGGCUUUAUAAUUACACCCGGUACUUGAAGAGUAAAUAGGAAGAGUAUAGGGUAUAUUGUAUUUGUGGUCGGAGCCGGAACGCACAAAAGGAAACGUUUCCGACCAUAUAAAGUAUAUAUAUUCGGAGACUAUUAAAGGUACAGCCACCAAAUUUUGCAUCGAGAUUGCUCCAAUAUCAUACUGGCACAAUUGUAUUCCGUAGAGAAUGUUCUAAUUAGGAUCAGAUUUGAUCUUUAGUAUAGGCAGAAUGGCGAAAUUCAAGUCCAGUGCCUACCCCACACCCCUUCCAGCAGCUUUGUUUUUUUUUUUUUUGCUCAUACUAUCUUAAUGUUAAUGUGAGAAGGAAUGUAGAUGUAGAUAACAUAAGUAGGACAAAUGCAAAGUGUUAAAUGUAAAAUUUGAAAAAAUCAUUAAGUUAAUACAUAUGAACAUGUACAUACAUACAUAUGUAGAUAUGUAUGUAUCACUCUAAGGUUACAUACACACAUAAGUAUGACUGAAUGUACAUACAUAUGUACAUAAAUAUAUAUACUGACUGAGUACCGGGUAUAAGAGUUGUGACGCUUACUAUGCGUCUCACAAACAUCCCUACUCUGUUUUUUAGACAUGCAUUUAUUCGGCGUCGUUUAAAUCGUCUCAGCUAAAAUUGGUCGACCAACUUUAAAAAAAUUAAAUAUAAAAUAGAAUACAGAUCAGUCGAAAUCGUCACUCGUUCUCAGUCAGUCACGAAUACUUUAAUGUAACAAAUGCAAACUUGGGGCUACUAUAGUAGAAAUAAAUUCAACAUUACUUAAUAAAUGUUCAUAACUGCCGUCAAGCAAUUAUAAAACAACCACAUUUAUAUGUCGGUACUUAAAGGAAAAUUAAGGGUUUGGAGGAUUGGCCAAACCAUUUUAGAUCCACCGUCUCUCCAUAGAUUUUGAUGAGCAAUAGUUAACACGUUACCGAAUAAGUGCACCUGUUCAAAAAAAUAGGAAACAGAAUACAAUUUGUUGUUUUCCUUUACCUGAGUUGCUAAUGUCAAAGUUUAGUUAAAAAUACUGCAUAUAACAAUUAAUAUCUGUGUUGAAAGUAGCAGCAGUGAGUUAGCAGCGGGCUGUUGUUAACAGCCGGAGCUCGCUCGCGCUCUCACUCCCUACGCUCUCGCGCUCUUCCUCUUUCCUGGGGCUCGCGAGCUGGCGGGCAGCCAGCCGCUAAGCUAAGCUCAGUUUCCUACUCACCCCCGUACAUUCCGGUACACGCGAGUCGAUACAUUAAAUUCCAUAUAUACAUCCAUACAUACACAAAAUACAUACUUUUCUACACCCACGCCAUUUCGAGUGCACAAUAAACCACCAUAAACAUCGAACAUACGGUGCCUUUUAAUUUAGGGACGCUUGGACCUUCCGAAGACUUUAUCUGCAGCGAAAGGAAGCCGCCCUACUACAAACAUUGGUAUUUCGAGCCGGAUUCUUGCUGAAUCGAGAUUGUCCCAGCAAGCGUCGGUGGAUUCCAGACAAAAACUUCUGAUAAAAUUGUAUAUCCUUACAUUCUAUAAUUACAUUGAACAAUUAUAAUAAAUAAUAAUAAACAGGGCUAAUCCUGGGGAGAAAAUACCGCAAAAAUACCGAUUACUUCACAUCUACAUACCACACUUGGUAUAUGUAUGCACCUCCGCGUUGGUCCGAUACGCAGUACCAGCACCCGCUGCUUAUGAAAAUUUCGCAAUUACCGAGAUUUUAAGCAUUCCAGGCGCACUUGAAGUGAACCACCGGCAGCAUAAUUUCCCCCACAAAGACCUUCAGAGCACCAUUCAAGGGGUUCUAACCGCCCUGGCUAACUCCAAGGUCUGCACAGACAAUUGGGAUAGUCUUCUUGUUACUAUCUGUCCUUCCAAGCUGCCAAAACUGACCCGGGCUCUGUGGGAAGUGUCAGUAACUGACAAAAAGGUAAUGCCUCCAUGGACGGAAAUGGACUCCUUCCUCACACACCGAUACUUGACGCUAGAGGCCAUGGACCUGCGACCCUUCCCAGGCUAGGAGCGAUCCGCAUCCGCCACCGUCCAAAGGCAUUCAAAAUCCGAAACCCUCCGGAAGCCACUCCAACCCGUUCCGGUCUCAUGGCAGUCCUCUUCCGAGGAAUUUUCAAUCCUUCAAUACAGGCGUGAAUCCGAAGAAGUGUGAUCUUUGUUCCAAGGAAGAUCAUCCAAUCUGACUCUGCCCGCAAUUCCUCCAAAUGGACGUUGAAGCACGUUCUAGCUGCAUUAAGACGAAGCAGUUGUGCUUAAACUGUUUUGCACGAGGUCACCAGCUACAAGAGUGUACAAGCGCCCACAAUUGCGUCACGUGUGGAGCCCGUCACCACACGAUGCUGCAUCGCGGUACUCCAGCAUCCUGUGAGUCGUCCACAUUCGUACCCAAUUCGACAGCUUGGCCUGGCCCAGGCAUACCAGUACAUACUACACAGAAUUCAGGUUUAGCCGAACCUCAGUCUCAUGUCCAGACAUUUUUUACCUCCAUGCUCCGCUCCGUUCCGCAAAUCACUAAUGCUUCUUCAUGCAUACAUGCCUUCCGCAUGCAUACAUGGCGUCUCGGUCGCAUGGCGACCGCACCACUCAGAGCAGACGUUCCCGAGGCAAUGAGUCCUACCAAUGCCGAGUCUGCUCUGAAAUCCAUCCUCUACGGAAGUGUCACCGAUUUCUCCGCCUAAGGACCGAAGAUAGGCUCCGAGCUGUCUGAAACUUCAGCUACUGCACCAAUUGCCUGGCUCACCAGCACUCCGGACAGGAUUGCCGAAGCGGCGACCGGUGUAAGGUGUGUGACAGGAGGCACCACACGUUGCUGCACAUGGACAUGUUAACAGCCGGAGCUCGCUCGCGCUCUCACUCCCUACGCUCUCGCGCUCUUUCCUCUUUCCUGACGCUCGCGAGUUGGCGGACAGCCAGCCGCUAAGCUAAGCUCAGUUCGCUACAUUAAAUUCGAUACAUUAAAUUCCAUAUAUACAUCCAUACAUACACAAAAUACAU